CAGCCGCCACGGUAACACCAGCACCUCGAGUGGUCAGGAGGUUUAUUGGGCCUAAAGCAUCCGUAGCCGGUUGUUUAAGUUUUCGGUUAAAUCUAUGCGCUUAACGUAUAGGCUGCCGAAAAUACUGGACAGCUAGGGAGUGGGAGAGGUACACGGUACUCAAUAGGAAGGGGUAAAAUCCUUUGAUCUGUUGAUGACCACCUGUGGCGAAGGCGGUGUACCAGAACACGUUCGACGGUGAGGGAUGAAAGCUGGGGGAGCAAACCGGAUUAGAUACCCCCGUAGUCCCUGUCUCUUAUAC
rnacentral:rRNA from 1 species